rnacentral:lncRNA from 1 species
CACCUGUACAGGAGCAAAAAAAGAACCCAAAAAAGAUUAAUUCCACAGGCAUGCCUUAGAGAACACUAUGCUACUCUACAGCCAGCACCACACCCAUCAAGCAACGCACAAUGCUCGUCGUACAACCAAGGGACCCCGCAUUCCUGGCCGUGGAUCCGCUCGUCAUAUCUUUGUUGUUGAAAAUGCUCCCAUAAACCAAUAUAUGCCACAUGAUGAAAAAUAUGUCACACUAUAAAAUAGUAUAGUCAGUAGGAUAAAAUAGAAGUAGAAACUAGAAGUAGCUUACUACAAGUUAUCAAGUUCUAUAUUUUUUCUCUGCCAUGAUGCAAAGUAGUGAAACAAAAUCAUUCGUGUGAAAACAAACAUUGGAUGGCAACAAAAAGGAAUGAUGAGCAUACAUAGAUCAAGAGUUGGUAGUAAACUCCACUGUGCUUAUUUGACUAGAAAACAACAGGAGCAUAAUUAAAGUCCACAUCUGUUCAAGCAAAAAUAUAGUUACUUGACAGGAAAUAAAAAUCCAAGUAACAAUAAUAGCAUAUAGCAAUAUAAACAAAAUAUACACUUAAAGUUCUAAGAUGCUGAUGAUAAAAGUACAGUUUUUUAGGUUCUCUCUCAAGUACGUAUUACAUACACGCAUCUGUAAGACAAGUCCAUUCUAGCAAGAUACACUGUUGCAGCUGAAUUUAUAUCUAACAUGCUGGAACUUCCAAAUUAACUCCCAAAAGAUCAAUAGGAAAGCAACAUGAAGAACGGUGCAUGUUAGAAAAAAUAGCUAUAUUAUAUUGUGUGGAUCCGCAUUAGCUUGCCCUAAACCGUCAGCAACUAAUCAAGCUCACAUAUUCAUCCCAACAACUGAAUCUGCCUCUAAACUGAACCGAAACAUAAUAUGUAUUCAGAUUGCAAGUAUCAUCUAGAUUUGGGGUAAAGUGGGGAGAGGCUCACCACGCUAGGAGGUAAGGAUGCAACCAUCAGUGAGCUCGUCCAGGCGAUGUAGGACAGGAUGCAGGGGCGAAGGGGGUGCUGGACUUGCUUCUGCACCUCUUCCGGCAAAGAGAGCUCGUUGGGAAUGGCUGCAUCGAGGAGGAGGACGUCUUGUACUCCGCUAGAUGCGUGGAGAAGGCAGUAGGCAUUAGUGGCAUAGAAAUCAACCCUAAUAAGUAGUUCAAAUUUGACAGCACAAGCAGCCUGACCAGACUAUGAUUCUAAGAGAGAAGAACACUAUCCAAGAAAAAGAGAAACAGAAACCGCAUGUGAGAAAGCAGCAGGACCAUUCAUUCAGGGAACAGAAGAGGUAGCAAAAGCAGCAGCAGGGAAUCCUUAUAACUAGAGGCUAAGCAUCCAUCGUUGGCUCCAGUCAGCUACUUCAUAGUAACUAACACCGGCGAAUAAAAAGUAGCACAAUUAACUUGUCAUAUAAUCUAAAUAUUUAUAGUUCAAGUCCAGAUUUGAUGUUAUACAGCUAAAGAGCAGCUGCAAUAACAAAUGUGCAGAAUACAAAAUGUUAAUCGUUCCAACAGGAACUAUAUUCCAAGGUACUGAUGUUAUGUAGGCAAACUAAAAUUUUAAAGUGCUAAUUCUUUGAACGAGAAGUAUGUCGAGGACCUUACUACAAAGCCGAAACCAGCAUGAUAGCAGAGGUAAAUAAUUGCAGGGAACCACAAACUAGUGAGCUACAGGCCCCAGUAGUACCCAUACACAUGGAUGUAUUAGUAUCGCAGAGAACAUUUGCAUGCAAGAGAUCAGACUAUUUUUCUAGAAAAAUGCAGGACUAUAGUUAAUGGAAGAAGUCGUUUCUACAGAAAAAUAUACAUGCUUGGUAGUACUUAUGUUGUCGAGAUACUGCAAUAAUAUAAAAGUUUCACUAUUGAUGUUGUACAGACAAAGAUUCAUGGCUGACUGGUGGCCCAGUAGUUAAGAUACUGAAUCGAUACCAUUAAAUUACUAGUGCUGAUGUUGUACAGAUUAAUAACAGAUUCCACGCACAAAUGUAUAAAAGGUACAGAGCAAUUCCACACUACUUCAUCACACUCUAGCCAAACGAGACACCUUUCUGAACUUAUCUACACCUUAGCUUCUCUGUACAUAGGCUACACAAUCAACUUGCCAUGUAAUAUAAACAUAUAAAGUUCAAGUCAGAUUUGUUAUUAUGUAGCUAUGUAGCUAAAGAGCAGCUGCAAUAAUAAAUGUUCAGGAUAUAAAAUGUUAAUCCUUCCAACAAGCAGUAUAUUCCAAGGUACUGAUGUUACGUGGGCACUAAAAUUUUAAAAUACUAAUUCUUCAAACAAGAACUAUAUGUCAAGGACCGGACUACAAAGCCAAAUUCAUCAUGAUAGCAGAGGUAAACAUUACAGGGGAAACACAAACUAGUGAGCUACAGGCCCAAUGAACUACACAUACACGUGGAUGUAUUAUUAACUCACAGAGUACAUUUGCACGCAAGAGAUAAUCUUUUUUCUUUUUAUAAAAUGAAAGACAAUAGUUAAUGGAAGGCAAGUCAUUUACCCAAUGCCAGCAAGUGUUGUGUUACAAAGAUUUGAGAUUUCUACAUACAAAAAUGCAUGCUCGGCAGUGUGCACCGCACUGUGAAAACUGUAUGCUGCUGCUACAUUUAACUAUGCGCAGAACUCAACCCAUAAAUUAUUACUUAAGCACUAAUUGUUAUUUUUAUUUGAAAAUAUUCUAAUAUGUUAGCACAGUCACGCACCCACAUCUAGUCAUCCACACUAGCUAAGCAAUAUCAACAAUAUCAACAAAUCCACACAGCAGAAGCACCAACGCAAGAGAUGACUGGUACUUGAGCAGAAGCAUGCAGCAGCAACCAAUCCAUGGAGAGGAAGAGGGAGGGAGUGAGCAGGGGAAGAACAAC